GCCCUACGGGGUUGUAAACUGCUUUUAUACGGGAAGAACUCCCCUGUACGUGUACAGGGUUGACGGUACCGUACGAAUAAGGAUCGGCUAACUCCGUGCCAGCAGCCGCGGUAAUACGGAGGAUCCAAGCGUUAUCCGGAUUCAUUGGGUUUAAAGGGUGCGUAGGCGGAAUGAUAAGUUAGUGGUGAAAUCCCCCGGCUUAACCGGGGAACUGCCAUUAAUACUGUCAUUCUUGAGUAUAGUUGAAGUGGGCGGAAUGUAUCAUGUAGCGGUGAAAUGCUUAGAUAUGAUACAGAACACCGAUAGCGUAGGCAGCUUGCUAAGCUAUAACUGACGCUCAGGCACGAAAGCGUGGGGAGCAAACAGGAUUAGAUACCCUGGUAGUCCACGCUGUAAACGAUGAUCACUCGCUGUUGGCGAUACACAGUCAGCGGCUUAGGGAAACCUUUAAGUGAUCCACCUGGGGAGUACGGUCGCAAGAUUGAAACUCAAAGGAAUUGACGGGGGCCCGCACAAGCGGAGGAGCAUGUGGUUUAAUUCGAUGAUACGCGAGGAACCUUACCUGGGCUUAAAUGUAAGACGACUGUCCCCGAAAGGGGAUUUUCCUUCGGGACGUCCUACAAGGUGCUGCAUGGUUGUCGUCAGCUCGUGCCGUGAGGUGUCGGGUUAAGUCCCAUAACGAGCGCAACCCCUAUCCUUAGUUGCCAUCAGAUAAUGCUGGGGACUCUAAGGAAACUGCCUACGCAAGUAGUGAGGAAGGUGGGGAUGACGUCAAAUCAGCACGGCCCUUAUGUCCAGGGCUACACACGUGCUACAAUGGCCGGUACAGAGGGCAGCUACCUGGUGACAGGAUGCUAAUCUCGAAAACCGGUCUCAGUUCGGAUCGAAGUCUGCAACUCGACUUCGUGAAGUCGGAUUCGCUAGUAAUCGCGCAUCAGCCAUGGCGCGGUGAAUACGUUCCCGGGCCUUGUCACACCGCC
rnacentral:rRNA from 1 species